rnacentral:misc_RNA from 1 species
GAUGAAGAACGUAGCGAAAUGCGAUAAGUAAUGUGAAUUGCAGAAUUCAGUGAAUCAUCGAAUCUUUGAACGCAUCUUGCGCUCCUUGGUAUUCCUUGGAGCAUGCCUGUUUGAGUAUCAUGAGCAAAUCUCAAAGUCAAUUCCUUUUGUUAAUUCAAUUGGUUUUGCUUUGGACUUGGAGGUCUUGCAGAUUUCACAGUCUGCUCCUCUUAAAUCCAUUAGCUGGAUCUCAGUAAUUAUGCUUGGUUCCACUCGGCGUGAUAAGUAUCACUCGCUGAGGACACUGUUAAAAAGGUGGCCAGGAAAAUACUGAUUGAACCGCUUCUAACGGUCUAUUGAGUUAGACAAUUGACCCCUUAAGUUUGAUCUCAAAUCAGGUAGGACUACCCGCUGAACUUAAGCAUAUCAAUAAGCGGAGGA